UAUAUUGGGCAGCAGCGAUAUAGGAAGAUGCUGAAAGGCAUCAUCUCAUACUGCGUGGGAGAUGGCAAUGGUAAACCUCUCCUGUAUUCUACCAAAGAAAACCAGAGGGCUCUGUGGUCGCCAGGAGUCGACACCGACUCGACGGCACACUUUACCUAGGUGCUUCUCAGCAACCACCAGCAGCAACAACAAAAUUGCUAUUUGACCAUGGGCAAAGUGCUUCCUUGAGCAGUGAUAGCUGGAGCCCCCUCCAUGACUGAAUAAUGACUGCAUCUUUGAAUGAAAAACUAAGUUACUGGAGGGAAGACCAAAAUGUGCAACAGUAAGGCCCAGGUCAUAGGUAACGCAGAACAUUGGGUCCAAUGGACCUGUGGUUCUGUGCCCCACUUCACCUGCUCUCUAGACAUAAUGGAGAACUGCCUCUCAGCGAGACUGCAAAGAGGCGGGGGAGCUGGCUGCGUGGGCUUCCUUCUUUCCUGAAGGGCAGCCCAUGCAGCCAAUAGCAGCCAGAGUGAGGGAGGAGCUUUGUCCAUCAACUCUGGUUUGCGGUGAAGGCAAACUGUGCUCCCUGAUUCAAGCAUACCUCCAACAAAACUAACUACAAACUGAAGGUGACACAUGGAGUUUGGGGAAGGAAACGGCGGGUCUAUUUUUAAAUUAAAGUGCAAUUGCCCAGAAAUCCUGCAGAAAUGGGAGAUAGGGCUCUGAGCUCUGAAGCAUGUUCUGAAAUUCCUGCAUAUCACGAAACAUAUAUCUUUCGAUGAAGUAGCCAGCUCAGUUCUACAGUUCAUUUGAUUGCUCCAAUGGCUGUUCCAGAACGAUACACUCCUCUGUUGAAUAAAACAUGGGCAGUUGGUACAAUCCAGAAACACGACAUGAGUCUGCUAAUGAUGUAACUUUGCUGAAUUGAUUCCACUUGCGUGCUACCAGUUGUCUUCUGCAUUUUCUGAAAACAUGUCAAAUAUAAGUGAAGCACCUGGGAAUUAUAUGGACACAGUGUGUCAAUCUGCACAGUGUGCUGCCUUCCCUAUGAACAUCAGCAUUGGAGAACGAAAAAGCAGGUGUAGGGGGACCUUUCAAUUAUGAAAUGAAACAAGCUUUCUGUCUCCUCUGCAACAGCCUCUGCCAGAAUGGAGAUAAUGAAAGUAUUAAUGGAAUGUGAUAAGCUAUCCUGGAUAACUGUCCUAUCACAUGUUUUCUUUUUGUAGCUGUAUUACUACUACUGUCUUCCACUGGACACUUUUGGCACUGCUUACUUUCUGUCUGGGGCUCAGAGGGCUGACUAUGUUAUAACAGAUGGUUGAUUCACCAACAUUACAUUACCACUUUAAUUUUACAAAUUUUUCUUCCUAGUGUUUAAAUGGAUAAACAUUUCAUAUAUAUGA